CACUGCCACGGGAGCGGAGCGCGCGCGGGUUGGGCAACGGCGGCGGCGGCGGCAAUUUGCGCGCCUUGCCCCGCGCCCGGGGGCGCGCCCCCGCGGCGGGCCAAAGGAACGGAAGGGAACGGAAAGGAAAAAGGGGCGUUUCGUCCUGCGCCAGUGCGGCCAGGCCUGCCGCCGGGCCGGCGCCUCGGUUUUCUGAAGCGUCCUCGGCUCGGUUCCUCCUAUCGCGUGAGGCUGGGGCCGCUCGCCUUCACGGGGGCCUUUGUGCAGGUGUGCAGCGUGUGAAUUGUGAAUGCCAUGCACAUAGGGAGACGAUACGGAGUAAACCUUCAACAGAGACUUUGAUGUCACCGACAUACAACUUUUACCUGCCAGCAGACUUCAAAGCCUGUAAUGUUUGGCAGCCAAGCCCGUCUCAGAGAUUUUUCUAUUGGUUGGAAGAAGUUACUGACAUUAGAAGGCAAAUGCUCCAUCGACACUGGAGUCGCAUUCCUACACUAAAGAAGAUUGCUUGUAUGCUGUUUCAUGGCUAAAUCCUGAAUUUGAGGCUGUCAAUCUGAAGAGGAUGGUCUCCGAAGCCGCUCCGCAAAACAGUAUCAGGGUGGCAAGGAAGGAACCAGCCCAGGCUCCAACAUAAAAAUAUGAUCCCUGGCAACAAAACUGCAUAUGGAAGCCAAAUAGAGUCUGUGAGACUAGCACAGAAAACCCUAAGCCACAUUGAGAAGAUCUAUUCCAGCUUCACCUACAGCAGCUUGUGAGGUUGCAGCUCCCUACCCUGCCACAAACUAUUAUGCCUGGGUUUGCCAGCACUGAGGCAAGCCUUACUCUCUCUCUUGGCAAAGUGAUCCCAGUGAACUAUAAGACCUUUAACCAUAGGGGUUCUUCUAACCUGGAUCAUUUUGUCAGGACUAGAUUUGGACAAUCACACCACAACAUCAUAGAAGAAGAAAGAAAGAAGCAAAAGCAUAGAUCUCAAAGCAGAAACCACUUAAUCGCAUGUAGCGUAUUUGAUUGUUACUUAAGAACCUUACCUGCUCUCCUAACCUGAAGUACACUGUUCUCUCUGGCAAAGAAAUACGUCUAACUUCCACUCCAUUUUUCUCAAACAAUAACUAUGAAACUGUGGAGGAUUAGGGGGUUUAUUUGCUACACUUGAAUCGACUUACCAUUGUGUUAGUGCUUAUGCAAACAGGGGGAAGGAAAAGUUUCUAACCACACAUUUAUUUUUUUCCCCCUCCAUCUGAUUUAUCAAACACUUAAGUUACUAAAAACUAUCAAGAAUAUAUAAAUUAAUUUUUGCUUUACAACUGAGAGCAGCAGUGGUCAGCACUUAGCAAAAAGACAUUGGCACACGCUACAGCAAUGAGAGAGAAACCCAGGGACAGCAGGAGCCCCACAGCACCCCGCAUCCUGAGGACCUGCAGAAACUGGAUCAGCACUGAGAAGAAAGAAAUGGCUGAUCCCUGUGUGAGACACAUGACUGCAGGAGAUGGGAUGCUUCUGUUCUCUAUCAGUUGGCCCGGCAGAUUCAUUCCAGUGCAUAAUGGCUGCUGCAGUUUCACCCACGUAGCUCCCCUAAGGGCAUUUGGUGCAUGGGCUGAAAUGUAGGAUGUUCUAGGAAGCGCGUAUGAAUCUGGAUAUCUUGAUGGGUUCUCAGAUAGGUGGGUGGCUUUUAUUACAGCCAAAAUGGAGUUCUCACAAGAGAAAAUAUAAAUUCUUUUAUAAACCAGAAGUAGAUGCAAUGUGGCUGGGUGAACAAUUUUCUGAGUUUUCUCAGACUUUAUACAAAUCAUUUUCAGCUUUGAUUUCUUGCUGUUCUUCAUUGACUGUUCAUUAAAACUUAAAAUGUAGCUCUGGGCAAGGUUUUCUUUUACCAAAAAUGUCACAUUAUUUCCUUUAACAGGAGCUGAGUCUCAAACUGUUUUCUGAUAUACAAAUGAUGUUGGCCUUUUGCAGGAGCCUGUAUAGAAGAAUCUUGGAAAUAAAAGGUUUAUGGAAAUAA